AUGAACGCUGGCGGCGUGCCUAAUACAUGCAAGUCGAGCGAACAGACGAGGAGCUUGCUCCUCUGACGUUAGCGGCGGACGGGUGAGUAACACGUGGAUAACCUACCUAUAAGACUGGGAUAACUUCGGGAAACCGGAGCUAAUACCGGAUAAUAUAUUGAACCGCAUGGUUCAAUAGUGAAAGACGGUUUUGCUGUCACUUAUAGAUGGAUCCGCGCCGCAUUAGCUAGUUGGUAAGGUAACGGCUUACCAAGGCGACGAUGCGUAGCCGACCUGAGAGGGUGAUCGGCCACACUGGAACUGAGACACGGUCCAGACUCCUACGGGAGGCAGCAGUAGGGAAUCUUCCGCAAUGGGCGAAAGCCUGACGGAGCAACGCCGCGUGAGUGAUGAAGGUCUUCGGAUCGUAAAACUCUGUUAUUAGGGAAGAACAAAUGUGUAAGUAACUAUGCACGUCUUGACGGUGCCUAAUCAGAAAGCCACGGCUAACUACGUG
rnacentral:rRNA from 1 species